ensembl:piRNA 21ur-10127 ncRNA
UCAUUUUUUUUUCCACGUCAA